rnacentral:rRNA from 1 species
CCUACGGGCGGCAGCAGUGAGGAAUAUUGGUCAAUGGACGAGAGUCUGAAGCAGCCAAGUAGCGUGAAGGAUGACUGCCCUCGGGGUUGUAAACUUCUUUUAUAUGGGAAUAAAAUGUGCCACGUGUGGGAGUUUGUAUGUACCAUAUGAAUAAGGAUCGGCUAACUCCGUGCCAGCAGCCGCGGUAAUACGGAGGAUCCGAGCGUUAUCCGGAUUUAUUGGGUUUAAAGGGAGCGUAGGUGGAUGGUUAAGUCAGUUGUGAAAGUUUGCGGCUCAACCGUAAAAUUGCAAUUGAUACUGGCAGUCUUGAGUACAGUUGAGGUAGGCGGAAUGCGUGGUGUAGCGGUGAAAUGCUUAGAUAUCACGAAGAACUCCGAUUGCGAAGGCAGCUUACUAAACUGCCACUGACAUUGAUGCUCGAAAGUGUGGGUAUCAAACAGGAUUAGAUACCCUAGUAGUC